rnacentral:rRNA from 1 species
AAUCAACGCUGGCGGCGCGCUUAACACAUGCAAGUCGAACGAGAAAGGGGAGCAAUCCCUGAGUAAAGUGGCGUACGGGUGAGUAACACGUGGAUGAUCUACCUCUUGGUGGGGAAUACCUCUGGGAAACCGGAGACAAUACCGCAUAAGCUCGAGAGAGGAAACCCGAAAGGGGCCGAGAGAGGAGUCCGCGGCCGAUUAGCUAGUUGGUAGGGUAAGAGCCUACCAAGGCGAAGAUCGGUAGCCGGCCUGAGAGGGCACACGGCCACACUGGCACUGAAACACGGGCCAGACUCCUACGGGAGGCAGCAGUGGGGAAUCUUGCACAAUGGGGGAAACCCUGAUGCAGCGACGCCGCGUGAGCGAUGAAGCCCUUCGGGGUGUAAAGCUCUUUCGACGGGAACGAUAAUGACGGUACCCGGAGAAGAAGCUGCGGCUAACUACGUGCCAGCCGCCGCAGUAACAC